GAGUUUGAUCCUGGCUCAGAACGAACGCUGGCGGCGUGCCUAACACAUGCAAGUCGAACGGAUUUGAGAAGCUUGCUUCUCAAGUUAGUGGCGCACGGGUGAGUAACGCGUAGAUAAUCUGCCUGAUGAUCUGGGAUAACACUUCGAAAGGGGUGCUAAUACCGGAUAAGCCCACGGAGUCUUUGGACUUUGCGGGAAAAGGGGGGGACCUUCGGGCCUUCUGUCAUCARAUGAGUCUGCGUACCAUUAGCUAGUUGGUAGGGUAAAGGCCUACCAAGGCUACGAUGGUUAGCUGGUCUGAGAGGAUGAUCAGCCACACUGGAACUGAGACACGGUCCAGACUCCUACGGGAGGCAGCUGUGGGGAAUUUUGCGCAAUGGGGGAAACCCUGACGCAGCAACGCCGCGUGAGUGAUGAAGGCUUUCGGGUCGUAAAGCUCUGUCGAGGGGAAAGAAAUGUACGAGGGCUAAUAUCCAUGAUACUUGACGGUACCCCUAAAGGAAGCACCGGCUAACUCCGUGCCAGCAGCCGCGGUAAUAC
rnacentral:rRNA from 1 species